rnacentral:lncRNA from 1 species
UGUAAUUGAACAUCAAGGAGGAAAAAUCAGUGUUUUGCCUAAAACCAAACCAUAGCCUUCUGUUCUGUAUUCUGUACCAAGACUUCAGCUUCCAAAUACAAAAUGGAUAGUUUCAUCUUUUGACAUGCAGACUUACUCCAGAGGCCAGCAGAAACUGUAGAUGAAGAGGAAAAUGCAGAAGAGGAAGAUGACAGGGAAGAGGAGGAGGCAUAUAAACUAAAGGAAGAAUAUCCAGAAAUGAAUGGAGAGGAAAGCAGGGAAAUUGUUAAAAAAAGAAAUAAAGUGGAAGAAAAUGAGAAGAAAUUAAAUGGGAAUUAUAAACACAAUGCAGAAGAAACAGAGAAUGUUGACCAACCAGAGGAAGAGGAACUCACCCAUUUAAAUUCCAAGAUAAAUGAGGAAAAUAGUGAGGGAAUUGAGCAGUUGAACAGCCAAGGUAAUUUGCAGUCUAAAGAGGACAUAAAAGAAAAGGAGUAUUUUGACAGUCAGAAACAGGUUGAUUCCCAUAUCGAGAAAACAUCCACAAAUCCAAGGGUGACAAUCACCAGCCCACAGGAAAAUGGAAAAAAAGGACCAGAAC